CCCUUAGAUGUUCUGGGCGGCCCGCGCACUACAAUGGCGUGUGCAGCGAGUGCCGACGUAGAGUUUUCCGAGGUAUUCUUGCAAUGCUCGUUUUGAUGGGGAUAGACCCUUGCAACUGUUGGUUUUGAACGAGGAAUUCCUUGUAAGCAUGGUUUAUCAUCCGACGCUGAAUGCGUCCCUGCCCUUUGUACACACCGCCCGUCGCUCCUACCGAUGAGUCGUCCGGUGAAGUUCGUAGACCUCGUGAUCGCGGAUCACUGGGGGAAGCAAAAUGAACCUCGCGGUUUAGAGGAAGGAGAAGUCGUAACA
rnacentral:rRNA from 1 species